rnacentral:ncRNA from 1 species
UCUUAUCAAGAGAGGUGGAGGGACUGGCCCUAUGAAACCCGGCAACCUGUUUUACAAGGUGCUAAUUCCUGAGUUUUAACUAGAGAUAA